GCUUCCGUGGCUCAGUUGGUAGAGCAGCACAUUCGUAACGUGCAGGUCGCCGGUUCAAGUCCGGCCGGGAGCUCCA
rnacentral:tRNA from 1 species